UGCAGUCGAGGGGUAUUAGUUUUCGGACUAAGAGACCGGCGCACGGGUGCGUAACGCGUAUGCAAUCUACCUUUUACAGAGGGAUAGCCCAGAGAAAUUUGGAUUAAUACCUCAUAGUAUAACAUGGCGGCAUGGUGAAGUUAUUAAAGUCACAACGGUAAAAGAUGAGCAUGCGUCCCAUUAGCUAGUUGGUAAGGUAACGGCUUACCAAGGCAACGAUGGGUAGGGGUCCUGAGAGGGAGAUCCCCCACACUGGUACUGAGACACGGACCAGACUCCUACGGGAGGCAGCAGUGAGGAAUAUUGGACAAUGGGCGCAAGCCUGAUCCAGCCAUGCCGCGUGCAGGAUGACGGUCCUAUGGAUUGUAAACUGCUUUUGUACGAGAAGAAACACUCCUUCGUGAAGGAGCUUGACGGUAUCGUAAGAAUAAGGAUCGGCUAACUCCGUGCCAGCAGCCGCGGUAAUACGGAGGAUCCAAGCGUUAUCCGGAAUCAUUGGGUUUAAAGGGUCCGUAGGCGGUUUAGUAAGUCAGUGGUGAAAGCCCAUCGCUCAACGGUGGAACGGCCAUUGAUACUGCUAAACUUGAAUUAUUAGGAAGUAACUAGAAUAUGUAGUGUAGCGGUGAAAUGCUUAGAGAUUACAUGGAAUACCAAUUGCGAAGGCAGGUUACUACUAAUGGAUUGACGCUGAUGGACGAAAGCGUGGGUAGCGAACAGGAUUAGAUACCCUGGUAGUCCACGCCGUAAACGAUGGAUACUAGCUGUUGGAAGCAAUUUCAGUGGCUAAGCGAAAGUGAUAAGUAUCCCACCUGGGGAGUACGUUCGCAAGAAUGAAACUCAAAGGAAUUGACGGGGGCCCGCACAAGCGGUGGAGCAUGUGGUUUAAUUCGAUGAUACGCGAGGAACCUUACCAAGGCUUAAAUGUAGAUUGACCGAUUUGGAAACAGAUCUUUCGCAAGACAAUUUACAAGGUGCUGCAUGGUUGUCGUCAGCUCGUGCCGUGAGGUGUCAGGUUAAGUCCUAUAACGAGCGCAACCCCUGUUGUUAGUUGCCAGCGAGUCAAGUCGGGAACUCUAACAAGACUGCCAGUGCAAACUGUGAG
rnacentral:rRNA from 1 species